UACGUAGGGACCAAGCGUUGUUCGGAUUUACUGGGCGUAAAGGGCGCGUAGGCGGCAAUUCAAGUCAGCUGUGAAAUCUCCGGGCUUAACUCGGAACGGUCAGCUGAUACUGCUUUGCUAGAGUGCAGAAGGGGCAAUCGGAAUUCCUGGUGUAGCGGUGAAAUGCGCAGAUAUCAGGAGGAACACCGGUGGCGAAGGCGGUUCUCUGGGCAUUACCUGACGCUGAGGAGCGAAAGCUAGGGGAGCGAACGGG
rnacentral:rRNA from 1 species